UACGGAGGGGGCUAGCGUUGUUCGGAAUUACUGGGCGUAAAGCGCACGUAGGCGGCUUUGCAAGUUAGAGGUGAAAGCCCGGGGCUCAACUCCGGAAUUGCCUUUAAAACUGCAUCGCUAGAAUUGUGGAGAGGUAAGUGGAAUUCCCAGUGUAGAGGUGAAAUUCGUAGAUAUUGGGAAGAACACCGGUGGCGAAGGCGGCCAUCUGGACCGGCACUGACGCUGAGGCGCGAAAGCGUGGGGAGCAAACAGG
rnacentral:rRNA from 1 species